CAACAUCGGACUCAUCUCUUGAGACCCUACAGGGCGCUCCUUCCGAGCUGCUCUGUUACCGCCGUCCUUGACGCAAUUUCCUGAAAGGAGACAAAGAGCCAUUUACUGGAACCAGGGCUGCCACCACUGGAUUCUGAAAACCGACAGGAGGAAGGAAGCGUGUCCGGCCACUGGUCUAGUCCUUCCCGUUCACAAGUCUCAGGAAGUCCUGGGCGUGCCCCAGAGGCCUUGUGUCCAGGCACGUCAGGAAUCGGAGGGAAAAGCCCCAUCUCCACGAACCCCUCCUCUCAGGCCCCCAAAACCCCUUGCUCGGGGCCCUGCACUCACUAGAGGCUCAGAGGCUGGCAGGAGGGAAGAGCGCAGGAGGCAGAAGGAGGCACCGCAGAGAGAGGGCAGCCCCGCGCCCCGGGCCCUUUGCCCGUCUUUGGGGAGCAGCUGAGCAGGCCCGGUCUUAGAGCUGCAGAAGCCAGAGGCAGGUGCUGAUUCCCUGGGGCUUUUGCAAAGCAGCAGCACGCGUGGGGCUCCGGGGCCUGGGGGGGGGGGUCCGGUCCCGCGUGGGAGCCCCGGUGGCGGGGGCCUGCGUUCAGUCGGGUUGCGACGACAGCCUCAGGCGAGCCUCCGAUGCCCACGCACCGCCUCUCCCGUGGCCGUUGGAUCCAAAUUCUGCGGAACCCAGAAAUCCCUAUUCAGAUGGAGGUCUUCUCCUUAAAAAGCAGCCAGUGAGUUCCAGACACUUGUAUCCUCCUUUGCACGCGUCUCGGGGCCUCGGACGCCGUCCUGCUCCUGCUUCUGUUCCUGCUCCGGGCAGAGGAACAAAGGGGAGCAGCUGAGAUUCUCUCUGGGCUGGUCCCCAGGAGCUGCCGGCGGGAUGGGUCCGCGGGGGAGCGAGGACUGACAGAACGGCUAAUUAUAAGGACAUGUGGGCACCAGGAGCGACAUGAUUAUUUAUGCUGCUCUCGCCCCGCGGUCUCCACCAGAAGGGGGGUCUGAGGCAGCUGGGGCCCCAGGGCCUUUGUUGGCAGGCUGCUUCUAAGCCUUCGGACCGUCCAGACCGAGGCCCAGCAGUCACCUCAUUUCAGGUGUUUAGGGAAGGAUGCGCCGUCCCCCAGUGGGGUGUCCCCCCAGCCGGUAUCAUCCCAAAGCUGUUCCCUUAUUGGGGGGGGGCGUGGACCCCUCCGAGCACCAGCCCGGCUCCAGUCAACCCUGGGAGGUCACGGAGCAGCCCAGACCCCCACCCUUUGCAGGACCGUUUCCCUCCCAUGGAGGGGGUGGUGGGGAGGGGGCCGUGUUCCAACUUGCCCCUUCCCCGGGGGUUGGGGGACUCUGGAGGGAAGUGGGAGUUGGGCUAAUGGACUCACUCCUGCGUCUCUCCUGGGAAGGGGCUUGUAUCUGUGCUGUUUGUCGGGACCCCAGACACGGCCCCAAAAUUGCACCGUGAGUGAGCUUCCCCGGGUCCCGUCUCCACCUUCUCACGCACCUGCAGACACUGCGAAUUCGAUGCUGGCCCUCUAACAGCAGAGUCCAGAGCCUCCCGUCCAUGACCUUGCCUACUUGCACACGGGCCCUUCCGGGGUUUUCUGCAGGGCUGCGGAUGUGAGGGUCGCUCCUCCUUCUCCACCCCGCCCCUCCC